rnacentral:rRNA from 1 species
GACGAACGCUGGCGGCGUGGAUUAGGCAUGCAAGUCGAACGGUAUCAUCCUUUCGGGGAUGAGAGAGUGGCGAACGGGUGAGUAACACGUAGGUGAUCUACCCUCAAGACGGGGACAACCCAGGGAAACUUGGGCUAAUACCGGAUGUGAGCUAUCGCGAGAUAGUUUGAAAGGUGGCUUCGGCUGCCGCUUGGGGAUGAGCCUGCGUCCUAUUAGCUAGUUGGUGAGGUAACGGCUCACCGAGGCAGUGAUAGGUAGGCGGCCUUAACGGGUGGUCGCCCACACUGGGAUUGAGAUACGGCCCAGACUCCUACGGGAGGCAGCAGUCGAGAAUAGUCUACAAUGGUCGAAAGACUGAUAGUGCGACGCCGCGUGAACGAAGAAGCCCUUCGGGGUGUAAAGUUCUUUUAUAUGUGAGCAGUGACAUCUAUAUUAAUAGUAAUGGGUGUAGAGAUAUUAGCAUAUGAAUAAGCAACGGCUAACUCCGUGCC